UGAUUACCAUAUUCUCAGUGUUUUAUGGGGUGUUAUGAGGAGUGAUCAGUAUACAGUUUGAAAAAUUUCAGUCAAAUAUUAUACUGCUGUGAUUAAUCUGGGAGCUGAUUUAUUUGGUUCAAGGGUUACUUUUCUGUAAUUUUUUAAAUGACUAUUGGAAAAUGGAAUGGAUAGAAAAUGCUUCCAUAACCAAGGCAGCUGAAAAAAGUGUGCUGUCAUUAUUGUGGUCUCUGAAAACUUGUUUUAAAAUGCGGUGCUUUAUCUGGUGGGAUUCAAUGUUGUAUUGUAAAAGAAAAUCUGGUGUUUAUUUAGGAGAGAGAUUAUUUAUUUUACUUGAAUAAUGUUUAUUAUUGAAAUGCAAUGUUAUGAGCAUAUAUUUCUUCCUCCUCUCUCUGUUUGUUUUUAGCCCUCUGCGCUUUUUAGUGAACCCCCCCGUUCAAGAAGUCACAGGGGGUCACUGCAUGAAGAAAGUUCAUACUCUGCCACUAGGCGUUUCAGUGGCUCCAGCACUAGAGGCGCUUCAGACUAUAAUGGUUUUCUGGGCUCCAGCUCCAGGGCCUCUUCUAGGGCGAGUUCAGCCCGUGCCAGUCCUGUGGUGGAGGAAAGGUCAGAUUUCCUGGAAAAAGGGUCCAGGACAGCCUCCACCCUCUCUGCUGCAACUCUAGCAUCCCUUGGUGGAGGUUUAUCACGAAGAGGAAGCUGUGAUACCUCGAUUUCAGUGGACACUGAGGCCUCCAUACGGGAAAUGAAGGUAAUUGAAGGUGUAUUUAUAAUACUGUGUUAUAAUGACCAUGGUCUGUAUGUAAUUUCAUAAUUUUUGUUUGUCUGCUCUCAGGACUCCCUGGUGGAGGUGGAGGAGAAAUACCGUAAGGCAAUGGUGUCCAAUGCUCAGCUGGACAAUGAGAAGACAAACCUGAUGUAUCAGGUGGACACACUGAGAGAUACUCUGAUGGAGCUGGAGGAAUUUCUGUGUGAGACACGCAGAGAGUGUGAGGAGAAAAUCAGAGUAAGGGCUGUCAAGUGGUGAAAUCACUUUUUUUUUUUUUUAAAUCCUCUAGAAUAAUUGACCCUUGUACAAAUGACUAAUUGUUUUGAUUUUGUUCAAUACAAAAUAUG
ensembl:lncRNA